rnacentral:ncRNA from 19 species
UUAUGUGGGUGGUGGUAGAACUACAUGUGCCACCUACAGCUUAUAUUGCUAGUCUAUCGUAACUGAUGGGCAACAUCCUCAAGGUGCUGGAAGUUACCUGCAAAGGUAAUAUCAGCAGCCACAUCUCCAUGUGGUUCACAGACUAAAUGAGGGUGGACCAAAUCCGCCAGGGUAUAGGUUUCAGAUAUAGUCGGCCUGAUGCGAACAACGUGUACAGACUGCAGCGGCAUGGCCGUUCUU